GAUGAACGCUGGCGGCGUGCCUAAUACAUGCAAGUAGAGCGAACGGACGAGAAGCUUGCUUCUCUGAUGUUAGCGGCGGACGGGUGAGUAACACGUGGAUAACCUACCUAUAAGACUGGGAUAACUUCGGGAAACCGGAGCUAAUACCGGAUAAUAUUUUGAACCGCAUGGUUCAAAAGUAAAAGACGGUCUUGCUGUAACUUAUAGAUGAAUCCGCGCUGCAUUAGCUAGUUGGUACGGUAACGGCUUACAAAGGCAACGAUGCAUAGCCGACCUUAGAUGUUGAUCGGCCACACUGGACCUGAGACACGGUCCAGACUCCUACGGGAGGCCGCAGUAGGGAAUCUUCCGCAAUGGGCGUAAGCCUGACGGAGCAACGCCGCGUGAGUGAUGAAGGUCUUCGGAUCGUAAAACUCUGUUAUUAGGGAAGAACAUAUGUGUAAGUAACUGUGCACAUCGUGACGGUACCUAAUCAGAAAGCCACGGCUAACUACGUG
rnacentral:rRNA from 1 species